AUUUUCGUCGUGAUCAGUUCGUCCAAUUUCGCGGUUUUUUCUUCACGACUGUGUUCACGACCAUUCGGAUAUUUGUGAAAUCGAGACAUUGCCCAGGUUGGUUUUCUAUCGAGAGGGACUGAGGGGAAAGGCCGGCCAGCCAACAUUAAAAGAUUGUCCGGAUGAGUGACAGGAAUGUUUCACAGCCUCUAACCAGUUAUGACCGAUUGGUGCUGUUCGGUCCAUUUCGCCCACCGUUCCAUAAAAUACGAUCAGCUCAUCAUGGCAGGGGCGGCGGAAUAUAAUCAAGAAACACACGGCAUGUAGAGAAGGACCCGAGAGAGCUUUCGGGGAGGGAGGAGGAGAAGGGAUGAAGAGAGGACAUCCACUGGUUUAAACGCGCUAUUUGGAUGGCUAUUGGUUUGUUUGUUGCUGGCCGUGAUUCUGCUAGAGCGGACCGCUUCGUUACUGCGUCUAAGGUUCACCCAAUUAAGGUUCUUAAGGCGGGGACAUCGUAGAUGCAAAUAAUAAAAUAUCAAGGGAGAAGUUGACAGGAGAUUUCACUUGAUGGACCGUGACCUAUUCUAACGAAUACUCACGAAGAAAGACUCAAUAAACUUGAUUACCAGCAUCAAGUAGCCAUGAAAUUGUUUGUUUUUAUGAUCCUCGGAAAAACCUCGUGCAUACCAUUGCGUUCACUCCACACAACAUGCUAAAUUCAAAGUCGAUAUUGGUCGGGAUUAUGUUGAUUCACUGCAUGACUUGUAUUCCAUCAACAACCACUGAACGAUCCAGCGAAGGACAGAAAGAGGAUCAAGAGAUCCAGGAGCAACGCCAUCACCAAGGAUACAGUGGAGGAUACGGGGGAUAUGGCUACGGAGCACCAGUCUAUGGAGGGCCAGUUUACGGAGGAGGGCACUACAAUAAUUAUUACGGUUACAACGGUUACUACCCAUUUCUUAGUUCCAAUAUGAUUGCUGCUGAAUAUGGAGCGGGAUAUGGCACGGGAUAUGGCACGGGAUAUGGUACUGGAUACGGUUCCGGAUAUGGUCCCGGAUAUUUCAAUUACCCAUCGGGAAAUUACGGAACUUACGGCUAUCACGGUUAGAUAGCCAUAACUGCACCUUUUAGCACCUUUAAAUUUACCCCCCAAAUUUUAUAUACACAAAUGGAUUAUGUAAUAUGACAAUAAAUUUGAAUUAAAGGCACA
rnacentral:misc_RNA from 1 species